GAAAGUAUUCAAGGGCGCACGGCGGAUGCCUAGGCUCUUACAGGCGAUGAAGGACGUGAUAAGCUGCGACAAGCCGCGGUGAGGCGCAAAUGGCCAUUGACCCGCGGGUUUCCGAAUGGGGCAACCCAACGUUUUGAAGAGACGUUAUCCCGCGAGAGCGGGAGGCGAACGCGGGGAACUGAAACAUCUUAGUACCCGCAGGAGAAGAAAAUAAAUAAUGAUUCCCCCAGUAGUGGCGAGCGACCGGGGAAUAGCCCAAACCGGCGUUGUCCAGGCAUCGCCGGGGUUGUAGGACCGCGAUGUCGCAAGAGUGAUGGCGAGUGGAAGGAACUGGAAAGUUCCGCCAUAGAGGGUGACAGCCCCUUACACGAAGCCAUGCGAAGCGUAGCGGAAUCCUGAGUAGCGCGGGACACGUGUAAUCCUGUGUGAAUCAGCCGGGCCCAUCCGGCAAGGCUAAAUACUCGUAAGAGACCGAUAGUGAACCAGUACCGUGAGGGAAAGGUGAAAAGCACCCCUGUUAGGGGAGUGAAAAAGAUCCUGAAACCGUGCGCCUACAAGCGGUCGGAGCGCCCAUUGGGCGUGACGGCGUGCCUUUUGCAUAAUGAACCUACGAGUUGCCGUCACCGGCAAGGUGAAGGGGCAGGAGCCCCUCAGCCGCAGCGGAAGCGAGUCUUAAAAGGGCGCAGGAGUCGGUGGUGGCAGACGCGAAACCGAGUGAUCUACACUUGUCCAGGAUGAAGUCCCGGUAACACGGGAUGGAGGUCCGCACCAAUAAGCGUUGAAAAGCUUCUGGAUGAGGUGAGUGUAGGAGUGAAAGGCCAAUCAAACUCGGAGAUAGCUCGUACUCCCCGAAAGGCAUUUAGGUGCCGCCUGUGGAGUUCCCGGCGCGAGGUAGAGCGACUGAUAGGAUGCGAGGGCUUCACCGCCUGUCAAGUCCUGACAAACUCCGAAUGCGCGCCGGCCAAUCCAUGGAGUAAGGGCACGGGUGCUAAGGUCCGUGCCCGAGAGGAGAAGAAUCCAGACCACCGGCCAAGGUCCCGAAAUGCUGGUUAAGUUAGACUAACGCAGUCCGUCCCCCCAGACAGCUAGGAUGUUGGCUUGGAAGCAGCCAUUCAUUCAAAGAGUGCGUAACAGCUCACUAGUCGAGGGGAUGGGCGUGGAUAAUAAUCGGGUAUGAAACCAGUUACCGAAGCCGUGGGAUAUGAGAAUAUCGGUAGGGGAGCAUUCCAUCCUGCGUCGAAGGCGCCGCGCGAGCGGCUCUGGAGCGGAUGGAAAAGCAAAUGUAGGUAUAAGUAACGAUAAGGAGGGUGCGAUCCCCUCCCGCCGAAAGACCAAGGUUUCCUGAACAACGCCAAUCGGUUCAGGGUGAGUCGGUCCCUAAGCAUAAGCCUAAGGGCGAGGGCGAUGGAUCAAACGGUUAAUAUUCCGUUACUGUCUUGGUGUGUGACGCGGCGACGGAGAAGUGACACGGCCGCCCCCUGACGGAAAAGGGGGUUUAAGCGCAAAGGUUACGAGGGAGGCAGGCAAGCCCACCUCCCGAGCCGAAGCGCGAAAGUACGCGGCGCCCUUCUGGGCAACGCGACAGCGCCGGUAACCAUGCUCCCGAGAAAACCCGCUAAACUCCAGCACCAGGUCAUCCGUACCGUAAACGGACACACGUGGUCGGGUAGAACAUACUAAGGCGCUUGGGAGAUUCACGGUUAAGGAACUAGGCAAAUUGACCCCGUACCUUCGGAACAAGGGGUCCUCGUGUAAACGAGGCGCAGAGAAUAGGUCCAGGCAACUGUUUAACAAAAACACAGGGCUGUGCAAAUUCGAAAGAAGCCGUAUACAGCCUGACACCUGCCCGGUGCCGGAAGGUUAAGAGGAGAUGUCACUAGCAAUAGGAAGCAUUGAAUUGAAGCCCCGGUAAACGGCGGCCGUAACUAUAACGGUCCUAAGGUAGCGAAAUUCCUUGUCGGGUAAGUUCCGACCUG
rnacentral:rRNA from 1 species